GUACAUCAAAAUAUAUAAGGUCAAGCACUCAGAUUUUACAAUCUGAACCAUCCAUAUGUUUGAAUAAAGAGAGAAAUACUAUUUGGAAGUCUGAAACAGGCUAGACUAGUUAUUUAACAAUCAACAAAACAAGACACAGAAGGACUCUUCUCUUACGGGAAGUUCUCACAUAGUAGCUCUUCGUGAACUAGGGAGAGAAGAAAUGACCAAGCCAUCAGCUAACAGUGUCGAUUUUAGUCUAGUUUUACUAACAGAUAGUAUAUCAAUCACUACUAUUACGGGGGUGUUUGGCAAAUAGCUAUUAGCUGAUAGCCGUUAGCGGGUUUGAUAGCUGAUAGCAUUAGUUGGCUAUCUGAAAAUGUUUGGUUUAAU